CCUACGGGGGGCUGCAGUGGGGAAUAUUGGACAAUGGGGGAAACCCUGAUCCAGCGACGCCGCGUGAGUGAAGAAGUAUUUCGGUACGUAAAGCUCUAUCAGCAGGAGAGAAAAUGACGGUACCUGACUAAGAAGCCCCGGCUGACUACGUGCCAGCAGCCGCGGGAAUACGUAGGGGGCAAGCGUUAUCCGGAUUUACUGGGUGUAAAGGGGGCGUAGACGGCAGAACAAGUCUGGAGUGAAAUCCCGGGGCUUAACCCCGGAACUGCUUUGGAAACUGUGCGGCUGGAGUGCAGGAGAGGUAAGCGGAAUUCCUAGUGUAGCGGUGAAAUGCGUAGAUAUUAGGAGGAACACCGGUGGCGAAGGCGGCUUACUGGACUGAAACUGACGGUGAGGCUCGAAAGCGUGGGGAGCAAACAGGAUUAGAUACCCGAGUAGUC
rnacentral:rRNA from 1 species